rnacentral:rRNA from 1 species
UACGGGGGGGGCAGGCGUUGUUCGGAAUUACUGGGCGUAAAGGGCUCGUAGGCGGCCAACUAAGUCAGACGUGAAAUCCCUCGGCUUAACCGGGGAACUGCGUCUGAUACUGGAUGGCUUGAGGUUGGGAGAGGGAUGCGGAAUUCCAGGUGUAGCGGUGAAAUGCGUAGAUAUCUGGAGGAACACCGGUGGCGAAGGCGGCAUCCUGGACCAAUUCUGACGCUGAGGAGCGAAAGCCAGGGGAGCAAACGGG